rnacentral:rRNA from 1 species
GAUUAAGUUAUUAAGGGCGCACGGUGGAUGCCUUGGCACUAGAAGCCGAUGAAGGACGUUACUAACGACGAUAUGCUUUGGGUAGCUGUAAGUAAGCGUUAAUCCAGAGAUUUCCGAAUGGGGGAACCCAACACAAGUUAUGUUGUGUUAUCGACAAGUGAAUUCAUAGCUUGUCAGAAGGCAGACCCGGAGAACUGAAACAUCUUAGUACCCGGAGGAAGAGAAAGAAAAUUCGAUUCCCUGAGUAGCGGC